AACGUAGGGGACAAGCGUUAUCCGGAUUUACUGGGCGUAAAGCGCACGUAGGCGGAUUGCUAAGUCAGGGGUGAAAUCCUGGAGCUCAACUCCAGAACUGCCUUUGAUACUGGCGACCUUGAGUCCGGGAGAGGUGAGUGGAACUGCGAGUGUAGAGGUGAAAUUCGUAGAUAUCGGGAGGAACACCUGUGGCGAAAGCGGCGCACUGGACCACAUCUGACGCUGAGGCGCGAAAGCUAGGGGAGCAAACAGG
rnacentral:rRNA from 1 species